GAUGAACGCUGGCGGCGUGCCUAAUACAUGCAAGUCGAGCGAACAGACGAGGCGCUUGCUCCUCUGACGUUAGCCGCGCACGGGUGAGUAACACGUGUAUCACCUCCCUAUAAUACUGGGAUAUCUUCGGGAAACCGGAUCUUAUACCGUAUAAUCUCUUGAACCGCAUGGUUCAAUAGUGAAAGACGGUUUUGCUGUCACGUCUCGCUGGUUCCGCGCCGCAUUAGCUAGUGGGGAAGUUAACGGCUUACCACGGCUACGAUGCGUGGACGACCUGCCAGGGGGAUCGGCCACACUGGAGCUGAGACACGGACAAGGGUCCUACGAGAGGCAGCAGUAGGGAAUCUGACGCAAUGGUCGAAAGUCUGACGGAGCAACGCCGCGCCAGUUAUGAAGGUCUUCGGAUCGUAAAACUCGGUUAUGAGGGAAGAACCAAUGUGGAAGGAAAUAUGCACGGCUUGACGGUACUUAGUCAGAAAGCAACGGCUAACUACGUG
rnacentral:rRNA from 1 species